rnacentral:sRNA from 1 species
UGUAUAGUAUAUUCAAAAAGCGGCGGUC